rnacentral:rRNA from 1 species
CCAAUAGCGUAUAUUAAAGUUGUUGCUGUUAAAAAGCUCGUAGUUGAACUUCGGGAUUUGCCCAUUGGUCAGGCUUAACUGUCUGCACUGGUGUGACGAGUUCCUAUCUUCUGAGGAAUCUCCAUGUCAUUCAGUUGGUGUGGGGGGAAAUCAGGACUGUUACUUUGAAAAAAUUAGAGUGUUUAAAGCAGGCAAUCCGU